GAUGAACGCUGGCGGCGUGCCUAAUACAUGCAAGUCGAGCGAACGGACGAGAAGCUUGCUUCUCUGAUGUUAGCGGCGGACGGGUGAGUAACACGUGGAUAACCUACCUAUAAGACUGGGAUAACUUCGGGAAACCGGAGCUAAUACCGGAUAAUAUUUUGAACCGCAUGGUUCAAUGGUGAAAGACGGUCUUGCUGUCACUUAUAGAUGGAUCCGCGCUGCAUUAGCUAGUUGGUAAGGUAACGGCUUACCAAGGCAACGAUGCAUAGCCGACCUGAGAGGGUGAUCGGCCACACUGGAACUGAGACACGGUCCAGACUCCUACGGGAGGCAGCAGUAGGGAAUCUUCCGCAAUGGGCGAAAGCCUGACGGAGCAACGCCGCGUGAGUGAUGAAGGUCUUCGGAUCGUAAAACUCUGUUAUUAGGGAAGAACAUAUGUGUAAGUAACUGUGCACAUCUUGACGGUACCUAAUCAGAAAGCCACGGCUAACUACGUG
rnacentral:rRNA from 1 species